UAACUCAUAAAAUACCUUCCCCUCACUGCCCUACCAAAUAUAGUAGCUAUGAGCCACUUGUAGCUGCUUAAAGUUAAAUGUGCAUUAGCUAAGAUUAAAUGAACUUAAAAUCUCAGUUUUUCUGUCAUAAUAGCACAUUUUAAAAAUGCUCAGUUGUCACAUGUGGCUACCUUACUGGACAAUGCAGUGAGAAUAUCAUCAUUGCAGAAAGUUGUAUGGAUGGUGCUGCUCUACUAUAUAAAGCCUUUUUUUGGUUUCAGGUCUAGAUGGAAUUAACCCCCCAACACAAGGCUGCACUGGACCUUGGACAAAUCUCUUACCAUUUAUUGAACCUAACUGUGCACAUAUCUGUCUUCCUCACUAGAUUCCAAGCUUCUGAAGGUUUAAAUUCUGUCCUCACGAUGACCUACAACGCUAAAAAGGCAGGAGGACCAACUUCAGCUCAAGGAGAGCAAAGAAACUGAUAAAAUGAGUUGUUGGACCUGGAUUAGAACUCUAUGCAAAUUUUUCCACCUUAUGGAAUUCCAUUAGUAUGAAAAGAAUCCCCUGGAAAGAGUUGAAAAAGAAUCAGUAUGAUGAAGUCCCCAAGAAAGUGAAAGGGGAUGGAGUAUGAUGUACAAUUUAGAGCAUAAAGAGCAGAAAAAGUGAAAGGAACUGUGGAUGGAUUUGCAUACAGGUUUUAAGGUUGGCUUCAAGAGAUGUUUGCAUGGCAUUUGGAAAGUGGAAGCUUUUACCCAACAGAUUUAUCAGAGAAAAAGAAAGACUCCAGGUUGUAAUCAUUGGGCUCAAAGAACUACCAGAAGGAAGCCAAAAUAAAAAGGAAUAUAAUAUCAUAAAAGCUGGGUUUUGUCACCUGCUAAAAUAAGACAACAGAAGAAGAAUGUGAGUGUAAGCUCGCUCUCUUUUUCUCUGCCUCGCCUUACAUUCUGGUGUUGGAACCUGGGAGGGAAGAUCCACUGCAACUGUGUGGGCUCCUCUCACAAGCCCACCUCUGGUGGUCCCCUCCCUUGGACCUUGCCAAGAAACUGAGAUGAGCUCCGGGACGGGACUCUCCACUUGCCUUGUUGGACUGACAUCCACACACCUGCCCACAUUUCAUCCACCGGUUUCAAGUGUUCACCUAAGAAGGAGCCUUACUGUUUGGGCUCAUUAGAAGUAUGACUUCAUGGCUAAACCAUCAAGAGUUGAAGCUGAUACAGAUGUUCUAGAGAGGCAACAAAAGAUCAGCCAGUGAUUGCUUCACUUGUGUCAGAAAACUGCUGUGCUAUAGCAAUUGCAGAACUUCCAAAGAAACCACACAUCUGUGCUCAAUGCAAACCCAUGGAUGAAUCUUGGUAAUAUCAAUAUAAUAUAUGUCAAAAACCAAGACCCAGAAGACUACAUUCAUAUGAGUUCCUGUUAUGAAAUUAAAAAUCAAGCAAAACUAAACAUUGAUUAGCCAUAUAUAUAUAAGUGUGUGUGCACACGCAUGUGCGUGAGAGAGAGCUCUUAAAAAAAAUGGCAAAUAUAAAAUUUAAUAUAGUUAUCCCCUCUAGGAGAGAGGCCAGGAGACAAAAAAGGAAGUAAGCUCUAUUAUACAAAUAGGUAAAAGUAAUUUUAUAUUAUGUAUUUUUUGGCUGGGGUGGUGUGAUUGAAAAAGAUCAAAUGAAGAAAAAAUCCUUUGCACAGGCAAAUUAGGUCAGUAUAUAAUAAACCAAGGAUUGUGAUUAAUUUAUUUUUGUUUACCAGAAAUUCAUAGUUAAAAAGAGGGAAAAUAAUCUUACUGUAGUAUCUAAGUCCUCUAUUGUUGUGUUUUAAAAAUUAUUAACAGCUUCCAAUAUAUUCCAGGUGUAUUUUUGCAGAUAGUGGUUAAUAACCUUUUAUAUAUAUGUGUGUGUGUGUGUGUGUGUGUGAAAUAUAACUUGAGACUGUGCAUUGAGAUGCUCAAGUUAUGUGCUGCCUACUCAUUCAGACUUUGCCCUCAACUUCUGCUGCUCUAAACUCAGGAUUGCAGCUGAAAUACACUAUUUUCACUUAUUUGCCUCAUCAGUUUUCUAUCUGGUGACUCAUACAAGUCACCAAAUCUUCCUUCAAACUAGUUUCUUGCUUGGUCUAAGUUUUCCAGUUUCCUCAUAAACCCUUCUCUGGUUUUCAAGCUGACAUAAAUAUCCUCUUAUUCCUUUGAUCAUUUAUCCACAUUUUGGGAAGUGGGCAAGUGGAAACCAUAGGCUAAACUCAUCAUAUUUGUCACAGAAGUCAUUUCAAUGUGUUUAUUAAUUUUAAAGUUUUCUUUUUUCAGAAAUGUAUAACUUUACUGAUCUAAGAACUAAUCAAUUAUUAUUGAAUAGAAGUAAGAAAUGUUCUGUUCUCUUCCUUCUUUGAGUAAAUCUAUGCAAAAAGUUUUUCUGGAACUAAAGAUAUUAACUGUUCCUCUGAUGUUACUGCUAUUGUCUAUUCCAUGGCCCUAUAGUUAUAUAGUUAGCUGGCUUCCUCUAGAUUCUUCUCCAAGUAUUUGCAUUGCUUUAGAGUGGGCAGGGACAGUCAGUCAGUCCUCUUGUUUACCCUCAAUUUGAGCCAUGGUAGUAAUACAUGAGAAAACCUUCAAAUUACAUUCACCUAGGGCCUUCUGCUAGCUGUUCCCUCUGGCAGGUAUGCACUUCCCCCAGUUACCUAUUUGUCUAACUCCCUCUCCUCUUUUGAAUCUUUGCUCCAUUUUACCUUCUCAACGAAAUCUACUCUGGCCUCCUUAUUUAA